CCGCGGGAUAGAGUUUGAUCCUGGCUCAGAAUCAACGCCGGCGGCGUGCCUAACACAUGCAAGUCGAACGCGAAAGGGGACCAAUCCCUGAGUAGAGUGGCGAACGGGUGAGUAACGCGUGGGUGACCUGCCUUCGAGUGGGGGAUACCGUUUCGAAAGGAACGCUAAUACCGCAUGAUAUCCGGCCUUUAGACAGGCGGAGAUCAAAGCUGGGGAUCGCAAGACCUGGCGCUCGGAGAGGGGCCCGCGUCCGAUUAGCUAGUUGGUGGGGUAAUGGCCUACCAAGGCGACGAUCGGUAGCCGGCCUAAGAGGGCGGACGGCCACACUGGGACUGAGACACGGCCCAGACUCCUACGGGAGGCAGCAGUGGGGAAUUGUUCGCAAUGGGCGCAAGCCUGACGACGCAACGCCGCGUGGAGGAUGACGGCUUUCGGGUCGUAAACUCCUGUCGUGCGGGACGAAUGCCUUCGCAGGGAAUAUCUGCGGAGGGUGACGGUACCGCGAAAGGAAGCCCCGGCUAACUCCGUGCCAGCAGCCGCGGUAAUACGGGGGGGGCAAGCGUUGUUCGGAAUUACUGGGCGUAAAGGGCUCGUAGGCGGCCCUGUAAGUCAGACGUGAAAGCCCUCGGCUCAACCGGGGAACGGCGUCUGAGACUGCAGGGCUUGAAUCCGGGAGAGGGAUGCGGAAUUCCAGGUGUAGCGGUGAAAUGCGUAGAUAUCUGGAGGAACACCGGUGGCGAAGGCGGCAUCCUGGACCGGUAUUGACGCUGAGGAGCGAAAGCCAGGGGAGCAAACGGGAUUAGAUACCCCGGUAGUCCUGGCCCUAAACGAUGAAUGCUUGGUGUGGCGGGUAUCGAUCCCUGCCGUGCCG
rnacentral:rRNA from 1 species